GCAUGAUGACCACAAGUGUGUGUUGAACUUUUCAUGACCUGAUGACUGUGUUUCCCAAUCCUGAUCCUGGAGAACCACAGCACUGCACGGUUUUGGUGUCUCUCUUAUCUGACAAACACACUUUUGAGGUCUUCUCUGAUGAGCUGAUGAGUUGAAUCAGGAUUGUUUGCAGAUAACACUGUAGUUCUCUAUCAUGCACAAGGACUCACCUCAUUAACUCUUUAUCCCCCACACACACAGAAAUGGUCCCUGGAUCAGUGUUUAGACUUUGCAGCGGUUUGAUUUUUGCAGAAGAUGUAACUUUGAUUUAAUUAUAAGCUCAAAAUGAAUACAUUACAGAACCAGUGAUGAAAACAAUAGUUAAAAAUAGUAUUUUUCGUAUUGAUAAAGCAUUGUGUUCUCUUUUUCAAGCUUCAUACAGUAAACUUUUUAGACUUUAAUUAAGAGUUUUAGUAAAGGAGAUAUUCAUACACAGUCAUCCCCUAGUUCCAGUCAUGAAGUGAAUUCAUGAUGUUAUUGUCAAAGGUAGCAGGUGUUGGUUUUCCUGAACACUUUCUCUGUCUGCCAUUGUUUGGACAAUCACUGUUUAUUUGAUGCUGUGCUGAUAGAGUUUGAUAGAUGAUAUUGCACACUUGACAUGCAUGUCUUCAUGGUGUUAUUUUGUGAGUUUGAAACAUUUACAUUGUGUUGUAUAACAUUUUGGUCAAUUUAAUUUUUAAGAAAAUGUAUCUUUUUCCAGUGUUCUCUGAAA